rnacentral:lncRNA from 1 species
GUAACUUGUCACGAUUUUUCCGUGUUUCAAUAAAUUUAGCGAGAGAGAAAGAUGAAGGUGAACACCACAACCGGAAACUCCUGUAUAUUGGAUUAGUCGGCUAGCAGUGAUUUGUGUCUCGAUUCCUAAAGUGGACGGUGCGACUGCGGAGAAGUGAUGUUGAUGUGAAUGGCCUAUGAAGUGUUUCGCGCGUGAAUUACCCUCGAGACGAGCCUGCAGAGCCCUGAUCUGUCUUUUGCAGGAUUUGACUUGUUUUUCGAGGAACGUUCGAUCCUCCGACAGUGCGUCUGCUCUGUCGCGCCAUUUGUUGAGGUCCUUUUGAUAUUGUUUGCAGAGCUCAUCGAGUCUCAGCGCCUCAGACAUAAACCAGUUCAGCUCCUUUUCCAGCGUCCGGAUUUUUACAUCUCGCAGCAGUUUCGUUUGCUCUUCGUCCGCUUUCUCCUUGAAGUAGUCCAUCUGCUUCUGAAUCGUGUACAUAUGCGUUCGGUACGCGAGAAGGAAAUCCCUCUCGUGGUCCCCCAUCAGUUUGCCGACUCUCUGGUCGAGCGACUCGAGCAGGCCGUGAAUUCGUUCGACUUCGUCGCGAAUUUUCGGGCCGUUCUUCAAAGUUUCGAACAAAGCCCGACGAGAAUCCGGUCUACCAAGGUCAUCCACACGGAGUUCCCUUUUUUCGGUGAGAAAAGCCCGUCGACUUGCGUCGAAGUCCUCUCCCAACGGACUGCCGCCAGACAGAACGUCGGAUAAAUCCGACUCUGGCGGAGCUUUCGAGUCAGGAGAACGAGUUGCCUUCUCCUCUGUCGACGAAGAGUUCACUUUCUGCGAGCAUGGCCGUCCGUCUGUUCGUGAAAAAAGGGGAGUUCCCGCUACGGUUCGCUCUUCGCCUGUCCCUGCUGUCAUAACGCGGUUUCUUCGAUCUGCAACCGCGCUCUGUGCGUGCUCUUCAUCCGCCGCAUCUCCUCGGGUAUGCGUGUUUUCUCCCUGUUCGUAUGAACGGCUCCCGUUUCGGGUGUUUUCCUCCGUUUCGUCUUGGCCCGCCGUUUCACGCCCGCUCGCGUCCUUGGCGCAAUCGGCUCCCAUGCCGAGCGCAGAGUAGCUGUCGGAAGACCUUCGAGCAUUUGUGGAAUUCUGCUCACAUUCUGGUGAACUUGUGCGUGAACUGGCGACUGCAGUUCCUUCUCGACUAACAUCUCCAAGAAAAGCAGACAUUUCCGACUCGCGCCAGUCUCUUUCGUAGGCAGAACCUCGACGUUCUCUGUCACUGACAAGGUCGGGAUUUCGUACAAAGCCACCCGAUUCCUUCUCAGACGACUCCUCGCCAAAAACACCCUUUCCCUUUGCCUCCCUGCCGUUGAAGGCAUCACUUCCCCGCGUUUCUCCGAACCCGCCCGUUUCCCCUUCUCCGUCCUCGUCUUCCACGUCGUUCACCGCGUGGCUCUCUGGCUCGUCACUCAUUGUUUUCGAGCAGAGACAUUGGUGUACGAUUUAGAAAAUUGGAAAUGGCACCAACUUUUUCGGUGACAAGGGCGGUGUGCGAGGAAUCACUCAAAUCUGCGUAUCAAUUAGGUUGCUGAAACACAGACGAGAAAAUGUAUGUGUUCUACCCAGAGUUGCACCGGUGUGGCUACGCAGCAGAUUUGAUUUUUCGACGAAAGCGAAAAAGCGGUUUCUAUUGGAAUGUCUCAGUCUAGGGUACGGCCGUGCAAUUCGAUGAACCGAUUGUGGCUUUUCCUGGACUCUACAUUCCUUCGGAAAUAUUGCACCGCGAAAACGCAAAUACCACCGUGAACAACCCACCGAACAGUCAAACCCAAGAAGUGCGACAGGG